GUCUGGAUGGUGUAGUUGGUUAUCACGGUUAGUCCACUGAGCUCUGAGAAUUAUCAGAACCAGCUCUCUAACAUAUCGCGCAGUCGGUCUCAUACCUAGUAUGAAUCCAUGCCAAACAUGGAGUAAUCCGAAGGCCGCGAGUUCGAGUCUCGCUCUGGACA